GCUUGAGAGAGUCCGCGAGAAAGAAAAGGGGACUGGCCGCUGGGGAGCGGGUUUUCCUGCAUUGCACAGAAUGGAGCUGCCGUCCUGCUGUCCCCGUGCACUGGAUUCCCUACUCCUUGGAGCACAGCCAGCAGUACAAACAUAAGGCCAGAUUUUCACCGGUGUUGAGCGCCUACAGCUCCCUUUAAAAACAACAAGGAGUCCGGUGGCACCUUAAAGACUAACAGAUUUAUUUGAGCAUAAGCUUUCAUGGAUAAAAACCCCACUUCUUCAGACGCAGCUCUCUUUGAAUUCAAGUGGAGUUUAUGGUGCUCAGGAUUUCUGUAAAACAGGUCUAUUAUAACUGGGCAUGUGAAAUAUUUUUGAAGUGGGAUCUUGGGGCAAUUAAAUC